GCCCAGAUAGCUCACUUGGGAGAGCGCCAGACUAAAGAGUGAUCCAGAGGGAUCUGGAGGUCCUCAGCUCGAUCCUGGGUCUGGGCA